UACGUAGGUGGCGAGCGUUGUCCGGAUUUACUGGGCGUAAAGAGCGCGCAGGCGGUCGUUCAAGUCGCGUGUGAAAGCCCCCGGCUCAACUGGGGAGGGUCACGCGAUACUGAUCGACUCGAAGGCAGGAGAGGGAAGUGGAAUUCCCGGUGUAGUGGUGAAAUGCGUAGAUAUCAGGAGGAACACCGGUGGUGUAGACGGCUUUCUGGACCGACACUGACGCUGAGACACGAAAGCGUGGGGAGCGAACCGG
rnacentral:rRNA from 1 species